CGAUUAUUUUGUUUACGUUUUAAAUGAUUUUUAUUAUGUAAAUAAUUGUUUAAAGAAUUAGACUGAAAAUUUGGCGGGAUGAGCCAGACCCUUGCAAUAGUGCAACGCAUGGGAGACUCGGGAAAGCCCAGAUAGCAAGCUACCUAGAUGGGCUUUCCCCCUUAAAAAAUUGAGUUAAUAUCGUGUGGGCCGAUGGCCCACAUAUCAGAUAUUAAACUGAUAAGAACAGAUACUACACUUGAUCUUAGCCAAAAGGCCGAGAAAGGU